AAUCGAAAAUAGAAGUAUGUGACCAAUAUUUACAGCAUUGAAACGAGUAUACUAUGCAUAUGACAUAAAAUAUUUGAUUCUAAUUAUUAAUAAACAUUUAAAUAUCGUGCGAUUAAUUAACUUUGAAGUUUUUUUCUCUUGGAUUUUAUUACCAAAUAGCGCUUACAUCAUUUAUUCGGUUAAACUAGGUUCGUGGUUACAGUUGUCCAACGAGAAGAUUGGUGCAUGGAUCGAAAUAAAAAAUUGCGCACGGUUCACGUGGACGUUAGAUACUUGUACACGCUACGCCGAUAAAUUGCUUCGAAUUAUCUGCACGCUCAUCACUAGCACUUCCUCUCUUCGUCGAGCAGCGACCGUCUCUAUAGUGCAUGUAGAUAAAUUCUAACGAUUACAUGCAAUUUCUCUGCGACAUUAACGAACGAAGAAUCGGAAGUUCAAACGUACUAUAGCGGAUUGUGAGAUAUUCAUCAAGAAUCACUCUGCCUAGAACAAAACCGAUUUACUGCUACUUUCGAAGAAAGAAGAAAAAGAAUGAAAAAGAUCAGAAAGGAAGCAAUUCUCUUCUUUCCUUCCCAGUUUUAUCGAUAUUUUCAACCAUUGGUCGUUUCUAACCUAAAUUUUCAAUUUUAACGAUCUUAUAAAAUCUAUUAUAUAAUUUCUCCGUAAAAAUGAUAUAAUCAGGCUGCAAAAAUCUAAGUCUAUUGAAAAUUUAUAUUUUUGGAAAUAUCAUCAGUGGAACCUGACAUCUGAUUCUAUUUCAAUUUUUAAUACAUUCGAUGACAUCGCUCAUCUCAGAAAUUUAAAAUUCGACUAGUUUUAAAGAAAACUUCGAUUUUUGAAAUUUUAGAAUAUUUCUUUCGGCACAAUUUAAUUAAUCUAAAAAUUCUGUAAACAUCUUUAACAAUUAUGGAACAUUGCACGAAAACGUAUUGAAAUCUUCAAAAAAGAUUCCAAUCGAUAUAAAGAUUAAACUAACAAUCGAAAUCAAGAAGUUUGCAAUUAAAACUCAAGAAUGAAAACAUCGUUAAAAUAUAAUACAUUUUCCACACGAGAAAGAAGAAUAAGAAAAGCAAGAACUAGAAUUAGGAAGAAAGAAACGUUGACAAGGGACGUGGUGGAAAGGUCAAUGACGUCCAUACUCGUGAUCGAUAAUAUAAUAAUUACGUUCUGAUCUAGAUUAUAUUCCCGAACAAUGCGGCGUAUUAUCCUUGAUGGCGUUCUAAGCAAUGAAACUAUCGUGUUCUCAUAUACGUGUUUAUUCAUCUAAAUUAUAGAAGAGGAAGAAAAUAUCAUUAAAUUUCUAAUUUGAAUCAACGAACAAAAGAAUAUAAUUUUUCUACAAGUAAAAAAGGAUCGAAAUUCUCUCUAUGAAAGAGACAGUAUAAUUAACGAAGACAAUGAAUUUCACGGAUCCUUCGAACAAGCAUUUCAACCAGUGGAAGUCUUGUUAAGAAUGCGUUAAACCCAACGUUAAACCAUGAAUACGAAUAAUUUAAGUUCCCAGCAUCAACUGCAGACAAAUAAAGGUGAACAACAUCUUGAAGAGAGAGAAAGACAGACACACAAAGAGCAUUAGGAACGAAUGUAAUUGUAGUUCAUAGAGGCAAAUUUUCGUGGAAGAACUAAUUAGACUGUGUUACCAGCACAAACUCUAAUUUGAACCGAAACUUUCUCCUGUAUAGUAUACGCGCUUAAUAGUCAGAAUAUUUUUUCAAAAGUUUUAGAAUAUCAAUUUUCAAUUAAUAAAUUUAUAUUAUCAAAUGUUAUAAACUUCAAUUGAAUUGUUGAAUAUUCAGAAUAUGAAGAUCUUUGUAAGAUUAUAAUUUUGCAAUGAAAAAAUGUGUAAAUUUAUCUACAUAAACUUUUAUCAUAUCUCUAACUGGAAGUAAUUAUAGGUUAGCUAUACGUUAGCGAGAUCCGAUAUAUUAUUUUUUUUCAUUCGAUUAUAACAAUAUCCAAACAAGAAAGAUUCGCGAAUUUUUCUUUUUUCGAAAUCAUUAUAUUGAAAAAAAAAUUGGAAAGAAAUAUAUAUCCUCUAUUCUCUAUUGUUUAAACGAAGAAUAUUCUGAUAAAGUGAAAGUACAUUGUUCACUGCAUUAACCUAAUUUGGAAACGUUUUACCGCAACUUUGUAUCAGGAUUCCUGCAGCUUUGUAAUUUAAUUAAAUGCGAUACUUUUGAAAUGUAAUUACAAAUAACACUUGUAGAAAUCAUUCAACAAUAAACAACAAAUAUUUUAUUCA